GAAGCUGCUUCAUGCUGAGGGACCAUAGAAGAAGAGAUGUUUUGGCCUCGUUGCUGAGGAAAUCGGCCCGAUAUCCCUACAUCUGAUUCUACCUUUUUAUGUCAAUGCAGUUCUGUAGUCCGAGGAUCAAGGAUCAACUCUCCCGAAAUAUGUCUUAAAUGUUGUGAUGCGGCAGGGUUAGAGUGUAGAGGCGGCAGGGUAGCCUAGUGGUUAGAGUGUAGAGGCGGCAGGGUAGCCUAGUGGUUAGAGUGUAGAGGCGGCAGGGUAGCCUAGUGGUUAGAGUGUAGAGGCGGCAGGGUAGCCUAGUGGUUAGAGUGUAGAGGCGGCAGGGUAGCCUAGUGGUUAGAGUGUAGAGGCGGCAGGUAGCCUAGUGGUUAGAGUGGAGAGGCGGCAGGGUAGCCUAGUGGUUAGAGUGUAGAGGCGGCAGGGUAGCCUAGUGGUUAGAGUGUAGAGGCGGCAGGGUAGCCUAGUGGUUAGAGUGUAGAGGCGGCAGGGUAGCCUAGUGGUUAGAGUGUAGAGGCGGCAGGGUAGCCUAGUGGUUAGAGUGGAGAGGCGGCAGGGUAGCCUAGUGGUUAGAGUGUAGGGGCGGCAGGGUAGCCUAGUGGUUAGAGUGUAGAGGCGGCAGGGUAGCCUAGUGGUUAGAGUGUAGAGGCGGCAGGGUAGCAGAGGGGUUAGAGUGUAGAGGAGGCAGGGUAGCCUAGUGGUUAGAGUGUAGAGGCGGCAGGUAGCCUAGUGGUUAGAGUGUAGGGGCGGCAGGGUAGCCUAGUGGUUAGAGUGUAGAGGAGGCAGGGUAGCCUAGUGGUUAGAGUGUAGAGGCGGCAGGUAGCCUAGUGGUUAGAGUGUAGGGGCGGCAGGGUAGCCUAGUGGUUAGAGUGUAGAGGCGGCAGGUAGCCUAGUGGUUAGAGUGUAGAGGAGGCAGGGUAGCCUAGUGGUUAGAGUGUAGAGGCGGCAGGUAGCCUAGUGGUUAGAGUGUAGGGGCGGCAGGGUAGCCUAGUGGUUAGAGUGUAGAGGCGGCAGGGUAGCCUAGUGGUUAGAGUGUAGGGGCGGCAGGGUAGCCUAGUGGUUAGAGUGUAGAGGCGGCAGGGUAGCCUAGUGGUUAGAGUGUAGAGGCGGCAGGUAGCCUAGUGGUUAGAGUGUAGAGGCGGCAGGGUAGCCUAGUGGUUAGGCAUUGUGUUUUCAUUUUAUAAAUAUCUAUUUAAGGAAUUCAUUCGGGUUCCACAGUGAGGACAGAACCGAGGUCCCUGUGCCGAACAGUUCGGUAUGAAUACAUGUUCCCGUUUACAACCCAACCAAAUACACAAUGUUAAUGCGAUGGUUACUGCAUUUAAAAAAUAUAUAUUUGUACCUUGUCAGCUCGGGGGUUUGAACUCACAACCUUCCGGUUACUAGUCCAACGCUCUAACCACUAGGCUACGCUGCCGCCCCCUAUAACAGCAGUUGAAAACAUUUAUAAAAAGCAAUCCUCUUUUUUUGAACUUUGAACUUCCUUUAUCGCCGUACUUUUAGUUUACGGUAGUCUGCGUUUCUCAAAGAGUUCAAAUCACAUGAAUGCUGGUAUUUACCACUUCAAAACGGGUAAAUUCCCACAUGGUUACGAACGCAGCAUCCGAGUGGAAACUUGACCCAACUUAACAAUCCUGUCACAACAGACAGGAAAUAAUUGUAAUUUUCCCGAUGUACCAAAGCCGAUCCGUGACCCCCAAAACGUCAAUACCAAUACCGAAUCAUGGGCUUGGUGAACCGUUACACCCUUAGUGU